AACGCGAAGAACCUUACCUGGACUUGACAUCCCACGAACCUGCUAGAGAUAGCGGGGUGCCCGCAAGGGAACGUGGAGACAGGUGCUGCAUGGCUGUCGUCAGCUCGUGUCGUGAGAUGUUGGGUUAAGUCCCGCAACGAGCGCAACCCUCGCCUUUAGUUGCCAUCAUUCAGUUGGGCACUCUAGAGGGACUGCCGGUGUUAAACCGGAGGAAGGUGGGGAUGACGUCAAGUCCUCAUGGCCUUUAUGUCCAGGGCUACACACGUGCUACAAUGGCUGGUACAAAGCGUCGCCAACUCGCAAGAGGGAGCCAAUCGCAAAAAACCAGUCUCAGUUCGGAUUGGAGUCUGCAACUCGACUCCAUGAAGUCGGAAUCGCUAGUAAUCGAAGAUCAGCACGCUUCGGUGAAUACGUUCCCGGGCCUUGUACACACCGUAGUAC
rnacentral:rRNA from 1 species